AAAGCCCGCUACUUGAAAGAACCGGAUUUCCUGUUUGUGCGCUGUGUUCGCUUCAGAAUUAUAAUUUGUGAAUAUCGUCCAUUUAUACUUCGUGUACAGCGUGGUGUGGUCGUUAUUCUUACGCAGUGGAGUAAGGUAACGACUAUACAAAAUGGUUAACGGACGGAUACCCUCAGUUUUUUCAAAAACUUAUGUUACUCCAAGGAGACCUUAUGAGAAGGCUCGUUUAGACCAAGAAUUACGAAUUAUUGGAGAAUAUGGUCUUCGUAACAAGCGUGAAGUAUGGAGAGUUAAAUACACACUAGCAAAUAUUCGAAAAGCUGCUCGUGAGCUUCUUACUUUAGAAGAAAAGGAUCCUAAACGUUUGUUCGAAGGAAAUGCUCUUUUGCGUCGCUUGGUAAGAAUUGGAGUGUUAGAUGAAAGCCGUAUGAAACUUGAUUAUGUUCUUGGCUUGAAAAUUGAAGAUUUCUUAGAAAGACGACUUCAAACUCAAGUAUUCAAAUUGGGACUUGCUAAAUCUAUUCAUCAUGCCCGUGUGCUUAUUCGUCAACGUCACAUUAGGCAGGCCACUUGAGUGUUAGGAAACUAGCACUUAACGUCUGUCGCGUACUUAUGGAUACGUAUUCGCGUUAAAAAUAUAUAAUUGGGUGCGCAAACAAGUGGUGAACAUUCCAUCUUUCAUUGUGAGAUUGGAUUCACAGAAGCACAUUGACUUCUCACUAAAAUCUCCGUUUGGUGGUGGUAGACCUGGUCGUGUCAAGAGGAAGAACUUGCGUAAGGGAAGCGGAGGAGCUGCUCCAGAGGAAGAAGAAGAUUAAAUCAUAUUAUUUUAUAAUACUUUUAUUUAAUAAAAGUAUGCCUUAAAUGUUCAAUAA